UACAGAGGUGGCAAGCGUUGUUCGGAAUUACUGGGCGUAAAGGGCGCGUAGGUGGUUGUAUAAGAUUGUUGUGAAAUCCCUGGGCUUAACCUAGGAACUGCAACGAUGACUGUAUAGCUAGAGUAUUGUAGAGGGUAGUGGAAUUUCCGGUGUAGCGGUGAAAUGCGUAGAGAUCGGAAGGAACACCAGUGGCGAAGGCGGCUACCUGGACAAAUACUGACACUGAGGCGCGAGAGCGUGGGGAGCAAACAGG
rnacentral:rRNA from 1 species